AGCCCUGCUCGGUCCAUAGAGGAACGUCAGGCGCUGGGAGAGUUUAAGUCGUGGAAGUGGUAGAAAGCGUUUCGGGUCGCGGAGGAGAUCCCUGCCAGUGUAGAGAAGCGUCCGCGGAAGCCAGGAAGUGAUGAGAGACCUGAACUCCUGCAGAGGGUACAGGAGGUGACUGUCAGGAGGCAAAGUGGAGAAGUACACACAGAUCUACCGGCUCAGCCAGGAGCCACCGUAUUGGGAAGCUUGAACAAUGUGCAAUUUCCCUAUUCUAAGUCUCGACAUAGAACAUCAUCAGGCAGGAAGAGAGCCAGAAAGCAUUUAUUGAGCUGGCUUCUGGACCAAGUGCUGGUGAUUCAGCUGUGAAUAACACUUCCUCUGGAGUGUUUCAGAUGAGACAAAUCAGGAAUCCAGGGAGAGACCCGUGUCAAGGAGGCUGCUCUCUCCAAGGGAAGACUUCUCUUCUCAGACCUGCUACAAACAGAAAUUUCAGGACUGCAGAAGCAGGGUAGGACUUCCUGGGGAGCAAGAUCCUUGCAAACACUUUCAUGGAGAUGAGACAGUGGACUCAGAGUCUGCAGGCUUUCCAGAUUGUCAGGAAACGUGAUUUCUGGAGGAGGAGCCAUAGUCUUGUAAAGGGAAACUAAAGGAAACACCCCCAAGGUUUUAGGAAAUGAAAGUGGAUCCAGCCUCCUUCCCUAGUCCCGAGAAUGCUUCAUUAUUAUUUUCCUGACCUUGCACUUUGCACUUUAUCAAAAUAUGAGUUCACUCUCUGCAUCAGUUUCUUAUAGCUGCCGUAACAAAUCACCACAUGCCUGGUGGUUUAACACAAUAGAAAUCUGUCUUCUCUCAGUUCAGGAGGCCAGAUGUCUGAAAUCAAGGGGACAGCAGGGUUGGUUUCCUCUGGAGACGCUGGGGGACACUAUUCUGUGGCUCUCUCCUCACUUCUGGUGGUUUCCAGCCAUCCUUGGCUCAUGUAGAUGCUGCAUGCCAGUAUCAGUCUCCAAAUUCACAUUGUCCUCUGCCUCUCUAUGUGUCUCCAAUAUUCCUCUCCCCUCUCUUGGAAGGAUACCAGUCCUAGAUCUGGGGCUACCCAAAACCCACGAUGAUCUCAUCUCAAGCUCCUUAAUUACAUCUGCAAAGAUCCUGUUUUCUUUCUUUCUUUCUCUCUCUCUCUCUCUUCUUUCUUUCUUUCUUUCUUUCAGAUCCUGUCUUCAAACAAGGUCACAUUCACAGUCUCCAGGAGUUAGAACUUGGAUGUAUUUUGGGGGAGGCAUGAUAUUCAACCCCCUGUGCCCUCCCUUCCAUUGCCCACAUCUGGAGGCUUUAUGCCAUCGGUGUCUUCUGAGCACUGGUAAAUGCGCUGUUUGACCUUCUUCGGAAACUAGACACUGGGACAGAAAGACACAGUAUCUUAACUCUUCCUGGGCCAGGGGUAAAACGAAAGUCCAGAAUAUCCAGCUCCAGGUCUCAAGAGUUUUCUUAGUAGAAUCUUUGACCAGAGGCUCAUCAAAGACGUGAGCCUUACCUACAAAGUAGUUAAGACAUUUUUAUAGAAGAAGGUGGGGCUACUUCAAACACACCUUUCUCGCUUUUUACAAUCCCUCUGGUCGUACUAUACUCAGCCUCUUGUAAACUGGAAUAAAUUAUUCACAGCUCUCCCAGUUAAAUGGAUGCUGUGUUCGGACUUCUUCCUGGCUAGCAGCAGAGCUCACCAGAGUCAAGAAGCCCAGAGAGGAAGUCCAGCUCCCAGCAUUUACCGAGGGUAACAAGGUUAAACUGUCCUCUGAGCUAUUCCUAAUGCUGAAUGACUAUUUCACACCUCUCUCCUCAAUAUUCAACUACUUCUCCUCAGUCCUCAAAUGUUAGCAGAUGUCCUUGCUUCUGUGAAAAAUACUGUGAUUCAGAAAUGAAUUUCCACACACUCCACCACCUAUCCACAUCUACGGCCCUACCCUCUGCCUUUCAAAACUCUGCUACCGUCGAUGAGUAUCUGUGCUCCUAAGAGAGCUAUGUUUAGCUGUGUCCAGAUUCCAUUCCCUCUUGUGUACCAAGGAUAUCACUUCUAUGACUUUCUGUCUCUUUCCUUCAUUAUCAGCUUUUCCCUCUUGCCUGGAUUAGUCUUAUCAACAAACAAACAUGCUGGAAUAUUUCCCAUCUUAAACAUGCACGUACAUGUACACACACACACACAGACACACAGACACACACCCACCCCUCUCUUUUGGUUCUCACAUCCCCCUCUGGCUAGCAUACAACUUCUCUACUCCAAACUCUGUUUAAAAAGUUGUCUAUACAGGCUAUCUCUGAUUUCUCUUUUCUGAUGAACUCACUCCCUAUCUUGAACCCCAGCUACAAAAUUGAUCCCCUCAAGGUCUUCAUUGACCUCCAAGUUGCUAAAUCCAAUGGCCCUUCCUCAGUCCUCACUUCCAUGAGCUUUCUUGUAGCAUUUGAUAAUUAAUCUCUUCCAGCUGCUAGGAGUACUUUCUGAACUUGGCUUUUGGGUCUCCACUCUCUCUUUUUCACAGGCCUCUCCUCAGUCUCCUUUGUUGGUUCCUUCUCGUUUUCUUGACCUCUGAAUGAUGGAACACUAUAGAGCUUCAGUGACCAGACGCCUUCUCUCUCUAAUCUCACCCAGUCUUGGGGAGAUGUUAGAUCGUCUCAUGCUGUUGGGGGGCGGGGUCCCACCUUUAUCCUUCAAGACCUCUGCACACUGAGGGCUGCUUACUGGGAACCUCACUUCUGCCCUUCUUCCCUGGGGCCUUUUAUUGUCCGUGGAAUACUGGACAGUACUGGAAGUACUGGACUGUCCUGUGGAGAACCUGGACAUGCUGGAGAGUUCAUGUUCCUCAGAACAAGCCCACAAUCAAAGAUAGAUGGCAAUCUGGUGGAUAAACAACUUAGCUUUCUGAUCCCCCAGGAUACCUUGAGGCCUAUUCUACACUCUUUCCCAGAAUUCCACAAUGGGGAUGAAUUUCAAUUGCCGACGAGGAUAACUUACUUCAUAAUGCACCUAUUAUUGACUUCCUUCCUCUUCUGGUCUCACUUCUUCUCUUCUGGGCAAUAAUUCCUGGACUUGCCUCCCAGAUAAACUGGUUGAACUCAAAUUCUUGUGUUUUUUUUUCCACUUUCUUUUUUUUUAAAUUUUAAUUUUUAAAAAUUUUUUUUCAGUGUACCAGAAUUCAUUGUUUAUGCACCACACCCAGUGCUCCAUGCAAUACAUGCCCUCCAUAAUACCCACCACCAGGCUCCCCCAACUUCCCACCCCCUGGCCCUUCAAAACCCUCAGAUUGUUUUUCAGAGUUCAUAGUCUCUCGUGGUUCAUCUCCUGCUCCAAUUUCCCUCAACUCCCUUCUCCUCUCCAUCUCCCCAUGUCCUCCGUGUUAUUUCUUAUGCUCCACAAAUAAGUGAAACCAUAUGAAGAUUGACUCUUUCUGCUUCACUUAUUUCACUCAGCAUAAUCUCUUCCAGUCCCAUCCAUGUUGAUACAAAAGUUGGGUAUUCAUCCGUUCUGAUGGAGGCACAAUACUCCGUAGUGUAUAUGGGCCACAUCUUCCUUAUCCAUUUGUCCGUUGAAGGGCAUCUUGGCUCUUUCCACAGUUUGGCAACCGUGGCCAUUGCUGCUAUGAACAUUGGGGUACAGAUGGCCCUUCUUUUCACUACAUUUGUAUCUUUGGGGUAAAUACCCAGUAUGCACUCAAAUUCUUACCAGAGUCUGCUUCUAGAGGAACCCAAAUGAAGACAAAUACUAUUUUCAUGCCAGUAAUUCCCAUAUUUAUAUCAUUCACCCCAACCUCCCCCAAAUUCCGGAAACAUAUAUCCAAUGGCCUUUCCUCACAGCUCUAUAUGGAGAUCCAGUCUCCAUUUCAAACUUCAUGUUACCACUGGUGAACUCCCGAUUUUCCCUCCAAACAGCACUUCUCCAGUUGAAGUCAUUUUUGACUUCACUCUUUUCUUUCACACCCACAUAUCACCCAACAACAUAAAAAUCUGUUGGUUUUACACUCAACAGAUAUACAAAAUCCUACCUCUCCUCAUCUAUCUCUUGGGCCCUCACUCAAGCUACGUUGCAGAGAUUAUUAAGAUAACUUCCCAACUGUUCUCUCUCUUCAUCUCUUGCUCCAUUAAAGUAUAUUUUCCUCACAGCAGCCACAAGGAUCCUUCAAAGCCAUUGUCACAUCAUGUUACUCCUUUGCUCAAAACUCAUCAAUGAUUUCAUCUCAGAGGCAAAAGGGAAGUCCAUAGCAUGGCAAAUAAAGUAUCAUCUGGUCUGCUGCCUGUCUUAACUUUUGAUCUCUUCUCCCACCAUUCUCUUGCUCAUUCUUCCAUUGUAGGAUCAUUAGCAAUAUGUUCUUCUUAAUAUACUAAGAGUGUUACCACCUAGGAUCUUUGCACUUCCUCCUGCAACCUAGAAUAUUCUUUGGGUUUGUUUUGUUUUGUUUUGUUUAGAACAUUCUUAUUCCAGAUAUCUACAUGAUUUGCCUCUUCAUACUUCAAAGUCCUUACUGAAAUGUCGUCUUAUUUAGAAGGACUUUGUUGGGCAUGAACCUGCAUGUUCUCUGAUCAUUCCCUUGCCCAACUUUGUUUUCUUCUACAGGCUGCUUUCCUCAGACUCCUACGUCAGCUGGCUUCUGGUUGGGUUCAGUCAGUGGGAGUGCCAAGAAAAGACUGGAGAGUGGGAGGGUGGAAGGGGAGGCGGGGUAUUUUGUCCUAUCUCAGGCUGCAUCUCCAGGCGGCAGUGAAUUUGCCCCAUGGCUCUAGUCCCUCUUGAAAUAGCUCCCAGGCAACUCUAGCCUUUGAGAUCUGAUAAUUCCAUAUAUUUCCUUUGUUCCUUCAGCCUAGGAAUGCUAGUGGCUUCCAGCCAUUGCUGAUUUCCAGAUUUCUCUAAUGUUAAUUAUUUGGCUUCUCAGGUCUUCCAGUACCCAAGUCUUUCCAAUAAAUUCCUCUCUUUUUAUUCUUCAGACCUAUUUCUGUUGUAUUCACUGGAUUCUGACUGGACAACUUAUAUCAGUUUCAGUCCCAGAAGGAAAUUUGUAAUUUGAGGAGAGCUUAAUAAAAGGACUGUUUACAUAA